rnacentral:rRNA from 1 species
AUUGAACGCUGGCGGCAGGCCUAACACAUGCAAGUCGAGCGCGCGGGGGACAGGUGAGUAAUGUAUGGGGACUGCCCGAUAUAGGGGGAUACAUCCUGGAAACGGUGUCUACUACCGCAUACUGUCGCAUAACCCAUAUGGGAUUAGCUAGUAGGUAAGGUAAAGGCUUACCUAGGCGACGAUCCCUAGCUGGUCUGAGAGGGUGAUAAGCCAAACUGGGACUGAGACACGGCCCAGACUCCUACGGAGGCAGCAGUGGGGAAUAUUGCACAAUGGGCGCAAGCCUGAUGCAGCCAUGCCGCGUGUAUGAAGAAGGCCUUAGGGUUGUAAAGUACGUUCAGUCGGGAGGCGUUACCGACAGAAGAAGCACCGGCUAACUCCGUGCCAGCAGCCGCGGUAAUAC